rnacentral:rRNA from 1 species
UACGUAGGGGGCUAGCGUUGUCCGGAAUCAUUGGGCGUAAAGGGUGCGUAGGCGGUCGCGUAAGUCGGAUGUGAAAUCUCAGGGCUCAACCCUGAAACUGCAUUCGAUACUGCGUGGCUAGGGUACUGGAGAGGAGACUGGAAUUUACGGUGUAGCAGUGAAAUGCGUAGAUAUCGUAAGGAAGACCAGUGGCGAAGGCGAGUCUCUGGACAGUUACCGACGCUGAGGCACGAAGGCCAGGGGAGCAAACGGG